rnacentral:rRNA from 1 species
UACGAAGGGGGCUAGCGUUGCUCGGAAUCACUGGGCGUAAAGCGCACGUAGGCGGAUCUUUAAGUCAGGGGUGAAAUCCCAAGGCUCAACCUUGGAACUGCCCUUGAUACUGGGGAUCUCGAGUCCGGAAGAGGUUGGUGGAACUCCGAGUGUAGAGGUGAAAUUCGUAGAUAUUCGGAAGAACACCAGUGGCGAAGGCGGCCAUCUGGUCCGGCACUGACGCUGAGGUGCGAAAGCGUGGGGAGCAAACAGG